rnacentral:rRNA from 1 species
CACUAGUGAUUCUAACUCUGUGCCAGCAGCCGCGGUAAUACAGAGGUGGCAAGCGUUGUUCGGAUUUACUGGGCGUAAAGGGUGCGUAGGUGGUAUUGUGUGUCGGGCGUGAAAGCUCACCGCUCAACGGUGAAAUGUCGCCCGAAACUACAAAACUAGAGUGCAGGAGAGGAGAGCGGAAUACUUGGUGUAGCGGUGGAAUGCGUUGAGAUCAAGUAGAACACCGGUGGCGUAGGCGGCUCUCUGGAAUGUAACUGACACUGAGGCACGAAAGUUGGGGGAGCAAACAGGAUUAGAUACCCUGGUAGUCCCAACCCUAAACGGUGUACACUUGUUGUAGGGGGAAUUGACCCCCCCUGUGACGGAGCUAACGCGUUAAGUGUACCGCCUGGGGAGUACGGUCGCAAGAUUAAAACUCAAAGAAAUUGACGGGGGCCCGCACAAGCGGAGGAGCAUGUGGCUUAAUUCGAUGCAACGCGAAGAACCUUACCAGGGCUUGACAUGUAGCUGGACGUCCCAUGAAAGUGGGAUUCCUUCGAGGCUGCUACACAGGUGCUGCAUGGCUGUCGUCAGUUCGUGCCGUGAGGUGUUGGGUUAAGUCCCGCAACGAACGCAACCCCUGUAUUUAGUUGCCACCGGCGCAAGCCGAGCACUCUAAAUAGACUGCCCGUGAUAAGCGGGAGGAAGGUGGGGAUGACGUCAAGUCAGUAUGGCCUUUAUGCCCUGGGCUGCACACGUGCUACAAUGGUCGGUACAGAGGGAAGCCAAACCGCGAGGUGGAGCAAAUCCCACAAAACCGGCCCCAGUUCAGAUUGAAGGCUGCAACUCGCCUUCAUGAAGUUGGAUUCGCUAGUAAUGGCGCAUCAGCUACGGCGCCGUGAAUACGUUCCCGGGCCUUGUACACACCGCCCGUCACAUCAUGAAAGCCGUCUGCACCCGACGUCGUUGAUUCAACCCGCAAGGGAGAUAGACGCCUAAGGUGUGGGUGGUGAUUGGGAUGAAGUCGUAACAAGGUAGCCGUAA